AAAAAAGGUAAGCUACUAAGAGCGAAUGGUGGAUGCCUUGACUGGUAAAGGCGAUGAAGGACGUACUAGACUGCGAUAAGCUACGGGGAGCUGUCAAGAAGCUUUGAUCCGUAGAUUUCCGAAUGGGGCAACCCAAUGUAUAGAGAUAUACAUUACCUAUAUAGGAGCGAACGAGGGGAAUUGAAACAUCUUAGUACCCUCAGGAAAAGAAAUCAAUAGAGAUUGCGUCAGUAGCGGCGAGCGAAAGCGCAAGAGGGCAAACCCAGUGCUUGCACUGGGGGUUGUAGGACUGCAAUGUGCAAGAGGUGAGUUUAGCAGAACAUUCUGGAAAGUAUAGCCAUAGAGGGUGAUAGUCCCGUAUGCGAAAAACAAACCUUAGCUAGCAGUAUCCUGAGUAGGGCGGGACACGAGGAAUCCUGUCUGAAUCCGGGUCGACCACGAUCCAACCCUAAAUACUAAUACCAGAUCGAUAGUGCACAAGUACCGUGAGGGAAAGGUGAAAAGAACUGAGGUGAUCAGAGUGAAAUAGAACCUGAAACCAUUUGCUUACAAUCAUUCAGAGCCCUAUGUAGCAAUACAGGGUGAUGGACUGCCUUUUGCAUAAUGAGCCUGCGAGUUGUGGUGUCUGGCAAGGUUAAGCAAACGUGAAGCCGUAGCGAAAGCGAGUCUGAAUAGGGCGCUUAGUCAGAUGCUGCAGACCCGAAACGAAGUGAUCUAUCCAUGAGCAAGUUGAAGCUAGUGUAAGAACUAGUGGAGGACUGAACCCAUAGGCGUUGAAAAGCCCCGGGAUGACUUGUGGAUAGGGGUGAAAGGCCAAUCAAACUUCGUGAUAGCUGGUUCUCUCCGAAAUAUAUUUAGGUAUAGCGUUGUGUCGUAAUAUAAGGGGGUAGAGCACUGAAUGGGCUAGGGCAUACACCAAUGUACCAAACCCUAUCAAACUCCGAAUACCUUAUAUGUAAUCACAGCAGUCAGGCGGCGAGUGAUAAAAUCCGUCGUCAAGAGGGAAACAACCCAGACUACCAGCUAAGGUCCCUAAAUCUUACUUAAGUGGAAAACGAUGUGAAGUUACUUAAACAACCAGGAGGUUGGCUUAGAAGCAGCCAUCCUUUAAAGAAAGCGUAAUAGCUCACUGGUCUAGUGAUUUUGCGCGGAAAAUAUAACGGGGCUAAAGUAAGUACCGAAGCUGUAGACUUGAUUUUAUCAAGUGGUAGGAGAGCGUUCUAUUUGCGUCGAAGGUAUACCGGUAAGGAGUGCUGGAGCGAAUAGAAGUGAGCAUGCAGGCAUGAGUAGCGAUAAUUAAUGUGAGAAUCAUUAACGCCGUAAACCCAAGGUUUCCUACGCGAUGCUCGUCAUCGUAGGGUUAGUCGGGUCCUAAGUCGAGUCCGAAAGGGGUAGACGAUGGCAAAUUGGUUAAUAUUCCAAUACCAACAUUAGUGUGCGAUGGAAGGACGCUUAGGGCUAAGGGGGCUAGCGGAUGGAAGUGCUAGUCUAAGGUCGUAGGAGGUUAUACAGGCAAAUCCGUAUAACAAUACUCCGAGAACUGAAAGGCUUUUUGAAGUCUUCGGAUGGAUAGAAGAACCCCUGAUGCCAUCGAGCCAAGAAAAGUUUCUAAGUUUAGCUAAUGUUGCCCGUACCGUAAACCGACACAGGUGGGUGGGAUGAGUAUUCUAAGGCGCGUGGAAGAACUCUCUUUAAGGAACUCUGCAAAAUAGCACCGUAUCUUCGGUAUAAGGUGUGGUUCGCUUCGUAUUAGGAUUUACUCCGAAAGCGAAGAAACUUACAACAAAGAGUCCCUCCCGACUGUUUACCAAAAACACAGCACUCUGCUAACUCGUAAGAGGAUGUAUAGGGUGUGACGCCUGCCCGGUGCUCGAAGGUUAAUUGAUGGGGUUAGCAUUAGCGAAGCUCUUGAUCGAAGCCCGAGUAAACGGCGGCCGUAACUAUAACGGUCCUAAGGUAGCGAAAUUCCUUGUCGGUUAAAUACCGACCUGCAUGAAUGGCGUAACGAGAUGGGAGCUGUCUCAAAGAGGGAUCCAGUGAAAUUGUAGUGGAGGUGAAAAUUCCUCCUACCCGCGGCAAGACGGAGAGACCCCGUGGACCUUUACUACAGCUUGACACUGCUAUUUGGAUAAGAAUGUGCAGGAUAGGUGGGAGGCUUUGAGUAUAUGACGCCAGUUGUAUAUGAGCCAUUGUUGAGAUACCACUCUUUCUUAUUUGGGUAGCUAACCAGCUUGAGUUAUCCUCAAGUGGGACAAUGUCUGGUGGGUAGUUUGACUGGGGCGGUCGCCUCCCAAAUAAUAACGGAGGCUUACAAAGGUUGGCUCAGAACGGUUGGAAAUCGUUCGUAGAGUAUAAAGGUAUAAGCCAGCUUAACUGCAAGACAUACAAGUCAAGCAGAGACGAAAGUCGGUCUUAGUGAUCCGGUGGUUCUGUGUGGAAGGGCCAUCGCUCAAAGGAUAAAAGGUACCCCGGGGAUAACAGGCUGAUCUCCCCCAAGAGCUCACAUCGACGGGGAGGUUUGGCACCUCGAUGUCGGCUCAUCGCAUCCUGGGGCUGGAGCAGGUCCCAAGGGUAUGGCUGUUCGCCAUUUAAAGCGGUACGCGAGCUGGGUUCAGAACGUCGUGAGACAGUUCGGUCCCUAUCUGCCGUGGGCGUAAGAAGAUUGAAGAGAUUUGACCCUAGUACGAGAGGACCGGGUUGAACAAACCACUGGUGUAGCUGUUGUUCUGCCAAGAGCAUCGCAGCGUAGCUAAGUUUGGAAAGGAUAAACGCUGAAAGCAUCUAAGCGUGAAGCCAACUCUAAGAUGAAUCUUCUCUAAGCUCUCUAGAAGACUACUAGUUUGAUAGGCUGGGUGUGUAAUGGAUGAAAGUCCUUUAGCUGACCAGUACUAAUAGAGCGUUUGGCUUAUCUUUAAUAAAGCAU
rnacentral:rRNA from 1 species